rnacentral:snRNA from 1 species
AUUGCUUCUCAGCCUUUUGGCUGAGAUCAAGUGUAAGAAUGGAUGUUGAAGUACAUUAUAUGCAUUUUUGGAUAAACAUUUUUAAACUCUAACUGAUGGACAUAGACUUUUACUGUGAUGUCUUUUUCAAUUCAGGUCAAUUCUAA